GCCCGGUCUGGGUUCUUGGGCGCUUAUUGUUUUAAUGAAAUUUUUGGUUGUUGUUGUUUUUGGUCCUGGAAAUGUGAUUUUAGCAGCGGGUAACGUGUCCUCACUCCUCCCGGGCUCCCUCGGAGGGUUUUCAGAGAGGUCUCAGUGCAUCCAUUUUCUCAGAUCCUCUCCUUCUUUCAGGGGAAGGAUCUGGGGCCCUGCGGGCGCCUCGGCGCGCGAAGGCGGCGGCUCGGGUUCUCGGCGGGGUCCGCGCAGUGGCCGAGGGAGCUCCUGGGUGGCGGCGGCGGCGGCGGUUCUCCUGGGCUGGACGCCGUGAGGGGAGGAAGCGGAUUUUCCCAGCAAGAUCUCCAUGGACACCGGCCCCAGCGACGACCUUGGACGAUUUCAACGCGCAGGCACCUCGAUCCCCCGAAUUCGUGGUGUGGCCGGUAUCACUGUUCCCCUGGUUUAACUAGCCUGUUUGAAGGUGCAGAUCGUUCUCGGGGAAGUCCAACCGAAACCAGCCCUCCCCUGCCCUCUGGAGUCUUCGUUUUCCAGCCUACAUCUGCUUGAGACUCCAGAAAGAGACUUCAGAUUGGCCAAGCUUCCUCCCUUCCCUUCCAGCCUCCUCAAGACCUAGCCCGACGGCGACGGGCCAGGUGGCGUCGGAGGUCACCGCUUGCCUGCAUGCCCCGAGCCAAGAGCAACCGCGGUUCCGCGGGGAUCGCAAGGGCCUCAGGCCUCGCAGGACCGUGGGCGCUGGAGAGUGAGAUGUGGGGCUGCGGUCGCCACCCGGGAAUGUUGGGGGACAAGGGGCGCUGCUCCGGAUUUAGGCCGCCGGCCCUCCAGCCCUGCCUUGGCUGUUGGGCCGCCUCCUUCACCUUGGUUAAGUUCUCCUUUUGCUCCCCAUUCCCGCUCGGGGUGCCCGCCACCAAGGAGGCCGGUUCGCCGCAGCUUAGGCCAGGGGAGGUCACUGCUCUGGGGCGGAUGGACCCCCAGCUUCCCCCAGCUCGUCUCCGAGGACUUUUCGCCGGAGGCGGGCAGGAAGGGGUUAAGAGCACCCCUUCCCCCCUCCCCCCCCUCCCCCGCGGCCAAUCCAGAGCCCUGGACUGCGGGCGAAGGCCGCCGCUUCCCUCCUGAGGUCUCAUUAGGGAAACCCUCACCGCUAUUUUCAACAUUUCCUCAAUCAAGUGCCUUUAAAUAGAGCUGCACAAACAAAUUGGCGGCAAAAGCGUAGAUCUUGUCACGAUUGAGACCAAUCCAAUAUUUCAGCCUUGUUUGCUUUGCAAUUACGGCUUGGCUUGUGGCUGCGGUGCCACCGGGGCAAAUCUGCAGCCGCCCGCUUUCUCCUCGGCACCCUCGGCGGGCGGAGGAAGCGACCCGCAGCGCCGCCGGAGGGAGGGGGGUGGCGCUGGAGGAGGUGGCUCGAAGGCGAGGGGCGGGCGGCGGAGCCUUCCCGAAGCCCGCGUGCGAAGGGCGCGGGCCCUGGGAAGGAGGCUGGACUUCUCAGGUUCCUGGCCGAGCCCCUGCGAUACAUACAGUAACAAUAAAACGUGCGGUACGCCUGCCGAAACCA